rnacentral:rRNA from 1 species
AGAAUGAACGCUGGCGGCAUGCCUAACACAUGCAAGUCGAACGAAGCCUUCGGGCUUAGUGGCGCACGGGUGCGUAACGCGUGGGAAUCUGCCCUUGGGUUCGGAAUAACAGUUAGAAAUGACUGCUAAUACCGAAUGAUGUCGUAAGACCAAAGAUUUAUCGCCCAGGGAUGAGCCCGCGUAGGAUUAGCUAGUUGGUGUGGUAAAGGCGCACCAAGGCGACGAUCCUUAGCUGGUCUGAGAGGAUGAUCAGCCACACUGGGACUGAGACACGGCCCAGACUCCUACGGGAGGCAGCAGUGGGGAAUAUUGGACAAUGGGCGAAAGCCUGAUCCAGCAAUGCCGCGUGAGUGAUGAAGGCCUUAGGGUUGUAAAGCUCUUUACCCGGGAUGAUAAUGACAGUACCGGGAGAAUAAGCUCCGGCUAACUCCGCGCCAGCAGCCGC